rnacentral:rRNA from 1 species
UUGCAAAGAACUUUGAAGAGAGAGUUCAAGAGGGCGUGAAACCGCUAAGAAUGAAGCGGAUAGAGUCGACGAAACUUAAUUAGUAUUCAACCAACACGUCAAACGGUUUCACGUACGUGCGUUACGUUAUGCCAAAUUUCGUGACGUCCAACGUACGUAUUGAACUGUAUGACGCUAAUGUUGGCGUAUUUACUAAUUGUAUGCAUUGAGAGCUUCGUAUUAGCGCACGAAGAAACUCAACCAAUAGAGGCUUGUCGGUUAGGUUAGGUUAAACUAUUCUAAUCGACAAUAACCUAUUGAGAGUUGAUCGCGUGUCGCAUAUGAAGUUUGCGAGUAGCGCGCGCAAUUAAUAGCGCAAAAGCACUUUUUUGGUGCCGCUACGCUAUUCAAGCGCUCUCCUCUUAUCAUUUUUUAAGUGAACUUAUGCGAUUUUUUCACACGUCAUACGUGGCGUGGAAAUUUCGUGUGAAAUAUUCACUUAUUAUUUGAGGAUGUAUCAAAAUAGCGCC